CAGACUUGUUACAAGGUUGUUCUAACAAGUCUGAUACAGUCGUGAUAUAACAAGAAUGUUACAAGGUUGACAACACAAAGUUAUAACAGUAUUGUUAUAUCAUGACUGUAUCGGACUUGUUGGAAUAACCUUGCAACAAGUCUG